UGCCUACGGGGGGCAGCAGUGGGGAAUAUUGCACAAUGGGGGGAACCCUGAUGCAGCGACGCCGCGUGAGUGAAGAAGUAUUUCGGUAUGUAAAGCUCUAUCAGCAGGGAAGAUAAUGACGGUACCUGACUAAGAAGCCCCGGCUAACUACGUGCCAGCAGCCGCGGUAAUACGUAGGGGGCAAGCGUUAUCCGGAUUUACUGGGUGUAAAGGGAGCGUAGACGGCAUUGCAAGUCUGAUGUGAAAGAUUGGGGCUCAACCCCAGGCCUGCAUUGGAAACUGUAAAGCUGGAGUACAGGAGAGGG
rnacentral:rRNA from 1 species